GUGGGGAAUCUUAGACAAUGGGCGCAAGCCUGAUCUAGCCAUGCCGCGUGAGCGAUGAAGGCCUUAGGGUUGUAAAGCUCUUUCGUGGGGGAAGAUAAUGACUGUACCCCAAGAAGAAGCCCCGGCUAACUCCGUGCCAGCAGCCGCGGUAAUACGGAGGGGGCUAGCGUUGUUCGGAAUUACUGGGCGUAAAGCGCACGUAGGCGGACUGGAAAGUCAGGGGUGAAAUCCCGGGGCUCAACCCCGGAACGGCCUUUGAAACUCCCAGUCUUGAGUUCGAGAGAGGUGAGUGGAAUUCCGAGUGUAGAGGUGAAAGUCGUAGAUAUUCGGAGGAACACCAGUGGCGAAGGCGGCUCACUGGCUCGAUACUGACGCUGAGGUGCGAAAGCGUGGGGAGCAAACAGGAUUAGAUACCCCAGUAGUCC
rnacentral:rRNA from 1 species